ACUCGAGUAGGGCGGGACACGUGAAAUCCUGACUGAACAUGGGGGGACCAUCCUCCAAGCCUAAGUACUCCUACAUGACCGAUAGUGAACCAGUACCGUGAGGGAAAGGUGAAAAGCACCCCGACGAGGGGAGUGAAACAGUUUCUGAAACCGGACGCCUACAAUCAGUUGGAGGGCCCUUGCGGCCUGACAGCGUACCUUUUGUAUAAUGGGUCAUCGACUUAGUGUAUCGAGCAAGCUUAAGCCGUUAGGUGUAGGCGCAGCGAAAGCGAGUCUUAAUAGGGCGAUUGAGUUAGAUGCAUUAGACCCGAAACCGAGUGAUCUAGGCAUGACCAGGUUGAAGGUUGGGUAACACCAACUGGAGGACCGAACCCACAUCUGUUGAAAAAGAUCGGGAUGAGUUGUGCCUAGGGGUGAAAGGCCAAUCAAACUCGGAGAUAGCUGGU
rnacentral:rRNA from 1 species